UCCUACGGGAGGCAGCAGUGGGGAAUAUUGCACAAUGGGCGAAAGCCUGAUGCAGCCAUGCCGCGUGUAUGAAGAAGGCCUUCGGGUUGUAAAGUACUUUCAGUAGGGAGGAAGGUUCAUACGUUAAUAGCGUAUGGAUUUGACGUUACCUACAGAAGAAGCACCGGCUAACUCCGUGCCAGCAGCCGCGGUAAUACGGAGGGUGCGAGCGUUAAUCGGAAUUACUGGGCGUAAAGCGCAUGCAGGUGGUUCAUUAAGUCAGAUGUGAAAGCCCGGGGCUCAACCUCGGAACCGCAUUUGAAACUGGUGAACUAGAGUGCUGUAGAGGGGGGUAGAAUUUCAGGUGUAGCGGUGAAAUGCGUAGAGAUCUGAAGGAAUACCAGUGGCGAAGGCGGCCCCCUGGACAGACACUGACACUCAGAUGCGAAAGCGUGGGGAGCAAACAGGAUUAGAUACCCUGGUAGUCCACGCCGUAAACGAUGUCUACUUGGAGGUUGUUCCCUUGAGGAGUGGCUUUCGGAGCUAACGCGUUAAGUAGACCGCCUGGGGAGUACGGUCGCAAGAUUAAAACUCAAAUGAAUUGACGGA
rnacentral:rRNA from 1 species